GACCAGGUGUGAGCAAAAGGAUUUCCUGACAGCCUCUGCUAGUUUAUUUUAUUGUUUUUGUGUUCUCAGAAUAGGGGACCCCUAAAGACAGAAACUGCAUGUGCUGGGCACAGGAAAUCGUGGACUGCCCCAUCCCUCUUUAGUGGUCACUUGGACAAAUCAGCCUCUCUGAGCUUUGCUUUCCCAUCUGAGAAAUGGGAAUGAUAAUAGCUAUUGAUGGAGUUUGGGGCUCUGACUUGCAGCCCUCCCUGCUUCUGGGGAUGCAUGGACCUCCCCUCUUCUGAGUCCAGCCUGUGCCCAAGCAGCUCCCAAGUCGAUUUCUCCAGCCCAAAAGCUCACCUGGCUAGAACCCCACUUCCGGCUGCUGACUGACACCCCCUUCCCCAACAUGAACUCGCUCCAGCAUGUUGCUCUCAGACUGGCUGGGCCGAACAUCUACCUGCCUUCUCCCCUCUCUAUCACCCCAAAUCAAGUCUCGGCUCCUCUCUUCUU